rnacentral:tRNA from 2 species
GGGUGAUUAGCUCAGCGGGAGAGCACUUCCCUGACACGGAAGGGGUCACUGGUUCAAUCCCAGUAUCGCCCACCA